AAGGCCAUUUCGGGUUUGGCCAUAGGAAAAUCACCCCUCAAAAUCUUGCCUCUAAAAUUAUUUUCUUGUUGAAUUCCUACUAAAUUAAGUGUCCUUUACAACUUGGUGUAGUUGUUUUGGAAGAAGGAGCACUUAUUUCUUCAAGUUGACAACUUGUUCAAGUGAAGAAAUUUGUAGAAAAAGAUUUUGAAGGAAACGGGAAUUGAAUUUGGAAAGGCGUAAAGAGCAUACAAGGUACAGACGACAGAUUUGCUGACCGCCUGCCUAGGAUAUCUAUUCUGCUAUUUUGGGAGUGCUCUUUUGUCCAGAGCCUAUAUGUUGGUACAGUCUGC